CAAAUAUUUUGUACUUCCCUCCACAAUUUUCAUUAGGUUUAGUUUCUCCCCCAAAUCCCUAACUUUCUCUCCAUACCAUCACUUUUUUUUGGGUCUUUCCCUCUGUGCGCGCGGCUGCCCACCAACGCCGACCGCCACCUACCAAGAUUACCCACCCCAACGAUGAACCACCAUCACCGGCUCUCUCCACCAUGGUAUAUCUCUCUCUCCAUCACCACUGAAUUUUCCCCCAAAGCCCUCUCUCUUUCGCUGAUUACUUGCCUGAUCUCACCGAUCAUGAGGAGCUGUUUGAAACCAUCUCCUAAGCACUUAUAUCGUUAGUUGACCGUGAUUGCUUAAGUGGUUGGGGAGGACAUGUCUACAUUGUUUGGUUUUCAAACACAUCUGGAUAAAGAAUGGGAGGCUUGACAAGAUUUGGAAAACCAAAUGUGAAGAAAGAAUGUGAAGAAAGAAAGCUACGUGGGCGGGCUGAAAGAGAUUAAGGGGAGCAACGAAUGCAAAAACAAUUGAAAGGUGUUAUGAGAAAAUUAGAUUGUCCGUGUAGUUAAAGGUAGUUUUUUUUGUGUACUAUUUAGAUCAAUAUGUUAAAAAUUGUUGGUUUUGUAAUAUGUGAUAACUUGAGUUUAUGUUAUUGUAUCUUUGGUUAAUUCGUAAACAAGAUUGUAUUAGAUAUUUUCUGCAUUUUUAGCUGAAAAAACUGAUUUUUAUUUAUU